GACGAACGCUGGCGGCGUGCCUAACACAUGCAAGUCGAGCGAAUGAAGUUCCUUCGGGACUGGAUUUAGCGGCGGACGGGUGAGUAACACGUGGGCAACCUGCCUCAUAGAGGGGAAUAGCCUCCCGAAAGGGAGAUUAAUACCGCAUAAGAUUGUAGUACCGCAUGAUACAGCAAUUAAAGGAGCAAUCCGCUAUGAGAUGGGCCCGCGGCGCAUUAGCUAGUUGGUGAGGUAAUGGCUCACCAAGGCGACGAUGCGUAGCCGACCUGAGAGGGUGAUAGGCUACAUUGGAGCUGAGACACGGCCCAGACUCCUACGGGAGGCAGCAGUGGGGAAUAUUGCACAAUGGGGGAAACCGUGAUGCAGCAACGCCGCGUGAGUGAUGACGGCCGUCGGGUUGUAAAGCUCUGUGUUAAGGGACGAUAGUGACGGUACCUGAGGAGGAAGCCACGGCUAACUACGUG
rnacentral:rRNA from 1 species